rnacentral:rRNA from 2 species
UGGGGAAUAUUGCACAAUGGGCGGAAGCCUGAUGCAGCGACGCCGCGUGGGGGAUGACGGCCUUCGGGUUGUAAACCUCUCUCAGUGCAGAACAAGGCUCUGUGUGGGGUGAGGGUAUGCGCAGAAGAAGCGCCGGCUAACUACGUGCCAGCAGCCGCGGUAAUACGUAGGGCGCGAGCGUUGUCCGGAUUUAUUGGGCGUAAAGAGCUCGUAGGCGGUUUGUCGCGUCUGCUGUGAAAUCCUCUGGCUUAACUGGGGGCGUGCAGUGGGUACGGGCAGACUGGAGUGCGGUAGGGGAGACUGGAAUUCCUGGUGUAGCGGUGGAAUGCGCAGAUAUCAGGAGGAACACCGAUGGCGAAGGCAGGUCUCUGGGCCGCAACUGACGCUGAGGAGCGAAAGCAUGGGGAGCGAACAGG